GCCAUAGCAAACUCCGAAUACCGAAGCGUGCAAUCACGGGAGACAGAUAUCGGGUGCUAACGUCCGAUGUCGAGAGGGUAACAACCCAGACCGCCAGCUAAGGUCCCGAAGACUGGCUCAGUGGGAAACGCGGUGGGAAGGCCCAAACAGUCAGGAGGUUGGCUUAGAAGCAGCCAUCCUUUAAAGAAAGCGUAAUAGCUCACUGAUCGAGUCGUCCUGCACGGAAGAUGUAACGGGGCUAAGCCAGUCACCGAAGCUGUGGAUGUGUUUAUUUUUCGGAAUAGAUGCAUGGUAGGAGAGCGUUCCGUAGGCCUGAGAAGGCGCCUUGAGAGGGGUGCUGGAGGUAUCGGAAGUGCGAAUGCUGACAUGAGUAGCGAUCAAGGGGGUGAAGGGCCCCCUCGCCGUAAGCCCAAGGUUUCCUGCGCAACGUUCAUCGGCGCAGGGUGAGUCGGCCCCUAAGGCGAGGCAGAAAUGCGUAGCUGAUGGGAAGCAGGUUAAGAUUCCUGCACCGUCGUAAGAUGCGAUGGGGGGACGGAUCGCAAAAGGUUGUCC
rnacentral:rRNA from 1 species